rnacentral:rRNA from 1 species
UACAGAGGGGGCAAGCGUUGUUCGGAAUUACUGGGCGUAAAGGGCGCGUAGGCGGCCUGCUAAGUCGAACGUGAAAUCCCCGGGCUCAACCCAGGAACUGCGUCCGAUACUGGUUGGCUUGAAUCCGGGAGAGGGAUGUGGAAUUCCAGGUGUAGCGGUGAAAUGCGUAGAUAUCUGGAGGAACACCGGUGGCGAAGGCGACAUCCUGGACCGGCAUUGACGCUGAGGCGCGAAAGCCAGGGGAGCAAACGGG